rnacentral:rRNA from 1 species
GACGAACGCUGGCGGCGUGCCUAAUACAUGCAAGUCGAACGAGAGCGACCGGUGCUUGCACUGGUCAAUCUAGUGGCGAACGGGUGAGUAACACGUGGGUAACCUGCCCAUCAGAGGGGGAUAACAUCCGGAAACGGAUGCUAAAACCGCAUAGGUCUUCGAACCGCAUGGUUUGAAGAGGAAAAGAGGCGCAAGCUUCUGCUGAUGGAUGGACCCGCGGUGCAUUAGCUAGUUGGUGAGGUAACGACUCACCAAGGCCGUGAUGCAUAGCCGACCUGAGAGGGUGAUCGGCCACAUUGGGACUGAGACACGGCCCAAACUCCUACGGGAGGCAGCAGUAGGGAAUCUUCCGCAAUGGACGCAAGUCUGACGGAGCAACGCCGCGUGAGUGAAGAAGGUUUUCGGAUCGUAAAACUCUGUUGUUAGAGAAGAACAAGUGCUAGAGUAACUGUUAGCGCCUUGACGGUAUCUAACCAGAAAGCCACGGCUAACUACGUG